rnacentral:tRNA from 1 species
GCAGAGGUAACCAAGCCAGUAAAGGUUAAGCACUAUUACUUAGCUUUUGACUAAGUCAAAGGUGCUAGAUUCAGGGUCUAGUCCCGUAGGGGUUCGUGGGUUCGAUUCCCAUCCUCUGCACCA